rnacentral:snRNA from 1 species
AUACUCUGGUUUCUCUUCAGAUCGUAUAAAUCUUU